AUCUAAACCCGAUAAAACGAAUGCUCCCGAUUCUUCAUCGGAGCAGCAGUGAUAGCGGGAAUACAU
rnacentral:sRNA from 1 species